CAGAGAGUCCGUUGCGAAAGGUGGGUACUGCCUACAUCUUUGACUUCGGCUAGAUUAGGGCAGGAAGAACAAGAAACCCCUCGGGGUGAAGUUAAAAGCCAUCCAAAGCCCCACGGAUCAUUCAAAGGGGUGGGGGGUGGGGGUGGGCGCUGGAGAGGCGCAGAGAAAGAGGAAAGAGGAAGGAGGAGAAACAGGAAAGGGAAGGAGGAGGAAGGAGGGUUUAUGUGAAGCGAUGUCAAUAGCUAUAUUUGGUGUCUACUUAGGCAGCCAAUCAUUUAUUUCCAGGCGGGCAGAAUCACUUAUUCUGCCCUGCUGUCUGUGUGAAAUCUCAUGCACACUGCACGGAAGUGGAAUAGAUUACUGCAGGGCCGGGGGGGGGGGGGGGGGGGGGGGGGGCGAGGAGGCGGUUAACCCACGCUCUUCAGGAAUGGCGGUGCCAGUCUCUCUGUGUAGGAAGUACUCGGGAUAGUAAUUUAGUUGGAAAAGGGUGGCAGGCCAGGAGGCUUGCAUGGAAAUUGCACUUGAAUCUGAGAACAGUUUUUUUUUUUUUCCCUGACUUCUAUGGUAUGCUUUAUUUGUGAUGGGUUGGAAAGGGAUCGAAAGUCUCCCCCCAAGUCUCCCCGAUCUCCCCCUUUUCCCCAUCUGUGGCACCUCUCAGAAUGGGCCCCUGCCCUUGCCAAAUGGAGAGAAUGGCUCUCUGUGUCCUUGGCCGAACUGGCCGACAGGACAGAGGAUAAACUGACCAUGGACCAGAAGUCAGCCCCCGGCACUCCUGGGACCUUCGUGGACUUGAGCACGCCCCUCUCUACUGACACUGUUGAUUACUGAUUGAAAUUUUCUUUUGGGAUAUGGGAAUAAAAAAAAUUAAAUAUCUGCAGAAGCAAGGUGAUUUGAGAAACCUCACGUUGCCAUGGCAUUGCCUUCUGUUCUUGUCAGUUUCCGGAUGGAGAAUGAAGGAGUGAGACAGAGGGGCGCCUGGGUGGCUCAGUCGGAUAAGCGUCUGACUUCAGCUCAGGUCAUGGUCUCACGGUUCAUGGGUUCGAGCCCCAUGUCGGGCUCUGUGCUGACAGCUCAGAGCCUGGAGCCUGCUUGGGAUUCUGUGCCUCCCUCUCUCUCUGUCCCUCCCCGGCUCACACUCGCGCUCUCUCUCUGCCUCCCAAAAAUAAACAUUAAAAAAAAAUUAUAAAAAAAAAAAAAAGAAAGAAUGAGAUAGAGUCUCUGAUCUGCUUUAGAUAUCAACACCCAUAGGAAAGGGGGUUAUUUAGAAUUUUGCUUCAGCUGCCGUAACAGGGAGUUCCAAAGUAAUAGUAGGCAUAGAUUCAUCACAGUGCAAGUUCAUUUCUCUCUCAUGGAGAAGUCAAGGUGAGCAGCUGUACUUCCAUAGCCAUUUCGAAUCCUGUCCUGUUGCUUUGACAUCCCCAAGCCGCAUCAUUCAUCUUGUGAUUGAAUGUGGCCUUUCUGGUUCCUACUAUCAUUCCAUCCCAUAGGAAGAGAGGGGAGAGAAGGGAAUAAUACUCAAACAGUAACUAUGAAACGCUAAUCAGCGCCACGGAAGAGGCAGAUCCAAAGUACACUGGGUGCUGUGUUGCUCGUGGGUGUCCUUGACCUUAGAUCCGUUCCUCCUCUUUUUCCUGCCCGCGUCUCUUUUGUCAAAGGGCUGACCCUUGCAGGCUGCCUCUCCCAGGUUCCUCUGCCAGCCGUCUUUCACCUCAAUUCAGUCGGUGGGAAACGCUGGUGGGAGACUGGCAGGCAGGAGAAAGGGACGUAUUGCUUCCCUCCUGUUUCUGUCUCAUGCAGUGACUCCAACGAUGACUGUGUCUGUUCACGACUCCAGCCCCCACUGGCCCACGGACUCUAGUAACGCUGCCUCCUUUCCUCAUCUUUCCAGCCGUCGGGUGAUAGUAACUUCUUGCUAUUGUUAAUCUCUGGAUUGCUUCACCACCCUGUUUAUUUUUUCAGCUCUCUAUCACCUAGAAUGAAUUCCUUGUAUGAAACCCCCCCAGUUGUAAGUAAAGUGGUCAAACGCUGGCCAGUAUAGGAGGGGGUACCACUCUAUCUAAAGGGAAGUUCAUAAAGGAAGUGACAUUUGUGCUGAAUCUUCAGGGUUGGCUGACCAAUCUCCAUUAAUUAACUCCAACUGGAUAUUUCUGGAUCCUGGGUCUAGGGGAGACACAAGGGGAGAAGUGGUUUGGGACACAGAUUUCUCGGCAGAGGAUUAGUGGAACCCAAAGCUAUGAUUACAACUGCUUCUAAUGCAGGCUUCUCCGCCUCAACACUAUUGACGUUGGGCUGGAUAAUUCUUAACUGGGGUACUGUGUCGUGAACUGUAAAGACGUUUAGCUGCAUUCUUGGCCUCUACCCACGAGCUGCCGUAGGACCCCUCCCCAGUCCUACUCAAGUGAUGACAACCCCGAAUGUCUCCAGACGUUGUCAGAUGCCCAUUGGUGGUGUGUGGGUGGGGGUUGCGGGUAAGAUCACUCAAGUUUACAACCACUAUUCUGUGUUGAUGGCUCCAAGCCAUCAAUAUACUGGCAAUAUGCUGGAGAUCCAAGCAAUAUACUGGAGAACCUUUUAAUUCUAAAGGUCACAAAGUCACUACCUUCCAGAAAGGGCAGCUGCCACCCCACCCCUCUCUUUCAUCUCUACUUCCCUCAGCCAGUGAGCGCCUUUAUUUCUGAUAAAUACUGUCCAGAGAACAAUGAUCCCUUAGUCUCUAAGGGAGUGUCGGGGCCAAGCCAUUGUCUUCUUGCCAAGAAGUGGUGACACAGGAAAUGAGGAGUCAUCAACCCUUUACAAUAUUAUAAUUCUUCUCUGAUUUUUGAGAUGAAAGUUGCAGAGCUCUGAAGGAUGUUUAAUUUUAUCAGUCAUGAUCAACCUUUCCUUUAUAAGACAAUUUUCUGCUUCUCCCAUCCCCAAACACACACCUAUCACGGUCUACUGGACUGUAAAAGAACAAAUCCUCUCUGAGAAAAAAACAACACCCCUAUGACUAUCAACAUUCCUACCACAAGGCAGACAUUUGUAUGCGUGUCAACAUAUUCCAUUAAUCUUUGUAACAAUCUUGUGAUGGGUUUUCCUAUUUCAUAGCUGAAGAACCAACUUGCCUACAGAAAUACACCCACUGUUAGUGAAGGCCUCCAAAGUUCUCCUACCGGUUAAAGGUAAUGGCAAUAACUUAGGCCUGCAUUGUGUUUUCCAAGUCUUCAGCUAUUAUUUUUUCACAUGCAUCAUCUAAGUUGUACUCAUAGCUUAAGUACUAUGGGAGGAGCUAUAGAAUAUCUUGUGCAGGGGAGGAAAUUUCAUGGUUAGGCAACGGGCUAGUCCCUGACGUGCCAAAGGUCUGAGAGCUGGUGGGAUGCUAUUACUGGAGGAUUUAUUUCAGGCAGAAAACAUGAGCAAAGACCCAGAGUCAAGAAUAAGUGGGGGGGUAUAGGGGAAACAAGGGGCUACGCUAACCCAACAGGAGCAGGUGAUUCGUGAUGGUAGGAAGGGAGAUGGGAUGUGUCUGUCCACGGGGAUCAGAUUAGGGAGGGCCUAGAAAUCCAGGCAGGAGAGUUGGGAGAUUAUGAAACAGCCACCGAGACAUGUUGGAAGUUUGUAAGCAAAGAUGAACAUUGUGCAUCCUACUCAGGAGUCACUUCUUCAGAAAAGCCUUACCUAAGCCCCCUCUUAGCGCAUCCUGGAGCUUCCCGUGCACAGUCAAGGCCCUAUGAGACUGUAACCUUUUUGAAGACAGAGCUCUGACUUACCCAACCUUGUGUCCAUAGGAGGUUCUCCAUGAAUGGCCUGAGUAAUGGGUAAAUGGAGCCUGAUAGAGAAACAGAGAUAGUGUGCUCUUCUGACUCCUCAGUACCAUUUGAAGAUGGACUCCAAGGACGGGAAGGCCACUGGACCUAUGAGAUCACAGACCUUGAACGCAGAAAGGUGCACAGAUGGAAUCUCAGAGCAGCCUCCAAGAUGCUCACUGAAGGAGAGCCGAGUUGGAGGAGAGAUGAACUGAGGAACCAUCGGGAAACAAAGAAAGGUGGCUGAGAAUCCCCAGGGCCAUGAAAAUGUGUUUGAGAAGCCCGACCAUCAUCUCCAUCCUAAAUCACGGUACAUUUCAGACAUCAGGAGACAUUUAGGCCUCACUACUGUUACAACUGACAUUCACUUCCCUUCUGUAGGAAGUGAAAUAGUCAUACCCUUAGUCUAAAAAACCCAAAAAAUAUCCUUCCAAAUGCUUCCCUCUUCCUGCAGCCCCCACCCAUUCACGUUGGCAUGUGGACAUGUUCCUGCCAAAUGAGUCAGUCAGAUAGGAACAUUAGUCUAUUUGAACAGAUGUCACUUUAAAAAGACAACAUUGCGCCAGUACACAAAGCUUCCCAAUAAUGCCUGUCGCGUAGCCAUGGCGCUGAUAGAAAGAAAAGGGGUAAUUUUGGUGAAUUCAAAGGAGCUAAGAUUGCUGUAAUUAUGGGGCACUGCUUCUAAACCAUCUUCAGGAGAAAGGAAGGCUGUUUUGUAUCAUGCUGAGAUACGGGAAGGAGGAGAGAGGGGCCUGGCAAGGAGGUUGGCUGUCGGAGGGGAGGAGGUGGGAGACGGCAGUGUUUGCGGGUGGUGUGCUUGUGUCUCAUUGCCGCGUCUUGAGCUGCGAGAAAAUAAGAUCUUCGAAGGUCACUGGGGGCACGCUCCAAAGGGUUUCCCCAGAACAAACGCCCCGUCCUCACAGUCUGCCCAACUCUAGCCCUUCUUUUUCCAAGCCCUGCUCACAAUCCUUUCCCUUAACCCUCUAUGGCAGAACCAGUCCCAGUGGGUUUUAGGACUUCUGUGUUGAUGACCAACGGUCUUCUAUUACUGUGUAACCUUUCGUGUGCUCACACACAGACUUGCUUCUUCUCCUUGAAGAAGGCGUGGGGC
rnacentral:lncRNA from 1 species